AUUGAACGCUGGCGGCAGGCCUAACACAUGCAAGUCGAACGAGUGGCGGACGGGUGAGUAAUGUCUGGGAAACUGCCUGAUGGAGGGGGAUAACUACUGGAAACGGUAGCUAAUACCGCAUACCAUCGGAUGUGCCCAGAUGGGAUUAGCUAGUAGGUGGGGUAAAGGCUCCCCUGGGCGACGAUCCCUAGCUGGUCUGAGAGGAUGACCAGCCACACGGGAACGGGGAUACGGUCCAGACUCCUACGUGAGUAAGAAGGGGGGAAUAUUGCACAAUGGGCGCAAGCCUGAUGCAGCAAUGCCGCGUGUAUGUAGAAGGCCUUCGGGUUUUAAAGUACUUUCAGCGGGGAGGCGUUACCCGCAGAAGAAGCACCGGCUAACUCCGUGCCAGCAGCCGCGGUAAUAC
rnacentral:rRNA from 1 species